rnacentral:miRNA from 1 species
UGUCCUCUGAUUGGCUCGGA